GACGAACGCUGGCGGCGUGCCUAAUACAUGCAAGUCGAGCGAGCUUGCCUAGAUGAUUUUAGUGCUUGCACUAAAUGAAACUAGAUACAAGCGAGCGACGGACGGGUGAGUAACACGUGGGUAACCUGCCCAAGAGACUGGGAUAACACCUGGAAACAGAUGCUAAUACCGGAUAACAACACUAGACGCAUGUCUAGAGUUUGAAAGAUGGUUCUGCUAUCACUCUUGGAUGGACCUGCGGUGCAUUAGCUAGUUGGUAAGGUAACGGCUUACCAAGGCAAUGAUGCAUAGCCGAGUUGAGAGACUGAUCGGCCACAUUGGGACUGAGACACGGCCCAAACUCCUACGGGAGGCAGCAGUAGGGAAUCUUCCACAAUGGACGAAAGUCUGAUGGAGCAACGCCGCGUGAGUGAAGAAGGGUUUCGGCUCGUAAAGCUCUGUUGGUAGUGAAGAAAGAUAGAGGUAGUAACUGGCCUUUAUUUGACGGUAAUUACUUAGAAAGUCACGGCUAACUACGUGCCAGCCGCCGCGGUAAGAC
rnacentral:rRNA from 1 species